rnacentral:pre_miRNA from 1 species
AGGAGAAUAGCUGGGUCAAAUGGUGGUUCCAUCCAUUCCCAGCUUUCCAAGGAAUCUCCAUACUGCUUUCCAAAUUGGCCACACCAAUUUGCAGCUCCACCAGCAAU